rnacentral:rRNA from 1 species
AGAAUCAACGCUGGCGGCGUGCCUAACACAUGCAAGUCGAACGAGAAAGUGGAGCAAUCCAUGAGUAAAGUGGCGCACGGGUGAGUAACACGUGACUAACCUACCCUUGAGUGGGGGAUAACCUAGGGAAAUCUGGGCUAAUACCGCAUAAUACCUUCGGGUCAAAGGAGCAAUUCGCUUAAGGAGGGGUCGCGGCCGAUUAGUUAGUUGGCGGGGUAAUGGCCCACCAAGACUGUGAUCGGUA